CCUUCCUUCCUGUCUCUCUCCUCUCUUCUCUUUAUUUUCUUUUGGGAGGGUACUGGGUGGGAUUUAGCCCAGGUGUGCUUGACCCCUGAGCCACAUUCCCAGCCCUCUAGCCCUUUUUAUUUUUUAUUUUGAGACAGGGUUUCACUAAGUUGCUGAGGCUGGCUUCAAACUUGUGAUUCUCCUGCCUCAGCCUCUCAAAGAUCUGGAAUUACAGGCGGGUGUCAGAGAGCCCGGCCACGGCUAAUUUCUUCUUGUCAUUCAUCCCUGCUCUGAAGUGUCUCAGGGAGGCCUUUCCUGUCCAAGGUAUUCAGUCAAUGUCACACCUAUGUCAUAUUCUAAAUUUUGUCCUAACAAUGAUUAUCAACUGGCCAUUAUCUGAUAUAUAGAUCCUCCUCAACUUAUGAUGAAGUUGAGUCCAGAUAGAUUUAAGCUGAAAGUACCAUAAAUUUAAAAAACACAUUGAAUGUACCUAACCUACCGAGCCUUGUAGCUUAGCAAUAUCAGUCGCUUCCUGAGUGACUGCAUGGUUGACUAGAAGCUGUAGCUGCCCAGGAUCCUCAGAGAAUCGGACCGCAUAUCACCUGAUCCAGAAGAGAUCAGAUUCAAAAUUUGAAGUAUGGUUUUUACUGAAUGUGUACUAUCUUUGCACCACAAUAAAGUAAAAAAAUAAGUUGAGCUGAGCUCAGUGGCACAUGCCUGUAAUUCCAGCAGCUUGGGAGGCUGAGGCAGGAGGAUUGCAAAUUCAAAGGCAGCCUCAGCAACUUAAGGAGGCCCUAAGCAACUCAGCGAGACCCUGUCUCUAAAUAAAAAUAUUUAGGGGCUGGGGAUGUGGCUCAAGCGGUAGCGCGCUCGCCUGGCA
rnacentral:lncRNA from 1 species